rnacentral:sRNA from 1 species
GUCGUAUUGGCCGAUUGGGGAACCUAACAAGUAAUAAAUAAUACCGAGACAAGCUUUUGAUUUCAAUGGCGGGCCACACUCUUACAGAGUUGCCUUAGGCACAGUGGAUUACAGCGAAACCGAAGCACUCAAAUCCUGUUUAUCAGGGUUUCAUCCAUAUCUUACCAAUACGACUUUUUU